GUGGCAGGGGAGAAAUUGAGAUUGCCAGUAAAAAAGGAGAAGAGGGAUAAAAAGGAAGGGAUUCUUAGACUGAAGAUGGAAGCCGGUAAAGUAAAGCUAAGGAUCAAUCCUUCGCAAAUCAAAAACAAGGCUAAGCGACAGGAAGUUUAUGCAAGACUGAAAUAUGAAAAGAAGAAGGCGAAAAGGAAGGCUCGUGAGGAAAGGCCCGUAGAAGACCUGGGAGAAGAUAAACAGGCUGAAAAAAAAAACAAAAC
rnacentral:ribozyme from 1 species